UGCUUCCAGCUUGCAGUUGAACAAGCCCGAUGCCAGAUCUCGAGGCCUCCUGUAUUGGAGAUUCCCAGAAAAAGCCCUGCCUUCCUGUCAUCUUUCUCAAUUUAUGCUCUUCAUGAUGUUCCUUUCCAGGUCCUCUCUGAUUGGAGGACUCAGAUCUCAAUCAGGACAAGAGAUGGGUCUUCCAGACACCAAGACACCCAGGUGGCAAUCCAGAAUGGCUACAAGACCCCACAUGGACUGUGCCUAGCUGGGAACUCAAACCACCUGAAAGUUCCAAGUUCCUGGACCCUGGACCGUAUUCCUUCCCCACCCCACAAACAGAUCUCAAACGCUUCCUCUGGUUCCCGACUGGCUUCCUCUCGGAUGAUAAAAGCUGCGGUACAACAGAGUCUACACUCAGAAACAGGUGGGAGGAUUGGACAGAUGCCUUGGGGCGAACCCCUCACCCCAGAACAGGAUGGGCCUCGGAACUUAGCAUAAGGAUGGCCUGAACAAACCGCAGGCAUGGAGAAUCAUCCACUGGAUCAUAUGUUCAGCGAGAGUCCUCCUCUCCCCCAUACACUUGCGGUCACCACACAUACACACUCUCACACACCACUCAGCUCACCUGAAGGUCUGGUUCAAGACAGUGCCUUUGGCCCCUCUGUUAAAGGGGUUCCGAGGUGGGGACAAGGAGUACGAGCCCCCAUAUGUUAGGGUCCGGGUUUUCACCCACCACCACAGAAGAUCAAUAGACAAUGCAAUUAGCAAGCAGGUCGUUUAUUGAACUGGUACACACCAGGGGAAACUCAGCCACAGAGUUCCCCCAUAGCUCCUGACUGCUGGGAUUAUAUACUCUCCAGCAUGUAUGGCCCGCACUAGUCCUCAUCUGGUACAUACCAUUGUUGGAAUGUUGCCGGCAUUUAUGGCCCCUAAGUUUUUAUCUGGUACCUGCUGUUGAGACCUUUGACAUAUUAACUUCCAAGGCCUGGCAGUUUCCUGCUCAGGCCUCCCUCACUAGCAAGAGAGGGAUGUCUCAUGCUAGGAAAAUUGCCACUGGAAUGUGAACAUGGAAAUAUUAGCAGCAGAUAGAAAACUAGGCCUGGAGAUGGGAGGUCCUGGGUUUAAUUAGAUAUGACCUCAUAUACUUCCUAACUAUGUGAUCCUGGGCAAGUCACUUAACACCAAAUGCCUAAUCAUUACCAUGUUUCUGCCAUGGAACCAAUGCUUAGUAUCAUUUCUAAGAUAGUCAGCAAGAGUUUUGGAGGGUUUGGUUUUUUUAAUAAAAUGUAUUUAUUUUAUUUUAAAAUCUUAAUU
rnacentral:lncRNA from 1 species